GGCGGGCAGUUCGGCCCGGAGGCGAGCAUCUUCACCGUGCUGGCCGGUGUGCUGGUCACGGCGGCGUUCCUGGUGCUGGCCCGCCGCC
rnacentral:tRNA from 1 species